rnacentral:rRNA from 1 species
AUUGAACGCUGGCGGCAGGCCUAACACAUGCAAGUCGAAUGGUAACAGGAAACAGCUUGCUGUUUCGCUGACGAGUGGCGGACGGGUGAGUAAUGUCUGGGAAACUGCCUGAUGGAGGGGGAUAACUACUGGAAACGGUAGCUAAUACCGCAUAACGUCGCAAGACCAAAGAGGGGGACCUUCGGGCCUCUUGCCAUCAGAUGUGCCCAGAUGGGAUUAGCUAGUAGGUGGGGUAACGGCUCACCUAGGCGACGAUCCCUAGCUGGUCUGAGAGGAUGACCAGCCACACUGGAACUGAGACACGGUCCAGACUCCUACGGGAGGCAGCAGUGGGGAAUAUUGCACAAUGGGCGCAAGCCUGAUGCAGCCAUGCCGCGUGUAUGAAGAAGGCCUGCGGGUUGUAAAGUACUUUCAGCGGGGAGGAAGGGAGUAAAGUUAAUACCUUUGCUCAUUGACGUUACCCGCAGAAGAAGCACCGGCUAACUCCGG